UACAGAGGUCUCAAGCGUUGUUCGGAUUCAUUGGGCGUAAAGGGUGCGCAGGUGGCCGUGUGUGUCAGAUGUGAAAUCCCGGGGCUUAACUCCGGAACUGCGUCUGAAACUACACGGCUAGAGCAUUGGAGAGGGUAGUGGAAUUCACGGUGUAGCAGUGAAAUGCGUAGAUAUCGUGAGGAACACCAGAGGCGAAGGCGACUACCUGGACAAUAGCUGACACUCAGGCACGAAAGCGUGGGGAGCCAAAGGG
rnacentral:rRNA from 1 species